rnacentral:rRNA from 1 species
GGUUAAGCGACUAAGCGUACACGGUGGAUGCCCUGGCAGUCAGAGGCGAUGAAGGACGUGCUAAUCUGCGAUAAGCGUCGGUAAGGUGAUAUGAACCGUUAUAACCGGCGAUUUCCGAAUGGGGAAACCCAGUGUGUUUCGACACACUAUCAUUAACUGAAUCCAUAGGUUAAUGAGGCGAACCGGGGGAACUGAAACAUCUAAGUACCCCGAGGAAAAGAAAUCAACCGAGAUUCCCCCAGUAGCGGCGAGCGAACGGGGAGCAGCCCAGAGCCUGAAUCAGUGUGUGUGUUAGUGGAAGCGUCUGGAAAGGCGCGCGAUACAGGGUGACAGCCCCGUACACAAAAAUGCACAUGCUGUGAGCUCGAUGAGUAGGGCGGGACACGUGGUAUCCUGUCUGAAUAUGGGGGGACCAUCCUCCAAGGCUAAAUACUCCUGACUGACCGAUAGUGAACCAGUACCGUGAGGGAAAGGCGAAAAGAACCCCGGCGAGGGGAGUGAAAAAGAACCUGAAACCGUGUACGUACAAGCAGUGGGAGCACGCUUAGGCGUGUGACUGCGUACCUUUUGUAUAAUGGGUCAGCGACUUAUAUUCUGUAGCAAGGUUAACCGAAUAGGGGAGCCGAAGGGAAACCGAGUCUUAACUGGGCGUUAAGUUGCAGGGUAUAGACCCGAAACCCGGUGAUCUAGCCAUGGGCAGGUUGAAGGUUGGGUAACACUAACUGGAGGACCGAACCGACUAAUGUUGAAAAAUUAGCGGAUGACUUGUGGCUGGGGGUGAAAGGCCAAUCAAACCGGGAGAUAGCUGGUUCUCCCCGAAAGCUAUUUAGGUAGCGCCUCGUGAAUUCAUCUCCGGGGGUAGAGCACUGUUUCGGCAAGGGGGUCAUCCCGACUUACCAACCCGAUGCAAACUGCGAAUACCGGAGAAUGUUAUCACGGGAGACACACGGCGGGUGCUAACGUCCGUCGUGAAGAGGGAAACAACCCAGACCGCCAGCUAAGGUCCCAAAGUCAUGGUUAAGUGGGAAACGAUGUGGGAAGGCCCAGACAGCCAGGAUGUUGGCUUAGAAGCAGCCAUCAUUUAAAGAAAGCGUAAUAGCUCACUGGUCGAGUCGGCCUGCGCGGAAGAUGUAACGGGGCUAAACCAUGCACCGAAGCUGCGGCAGCGACGCUGAUGCGUUGUUGGGUAGGGGAGCGUUCUGUAAGCCUGUGAAGGUGUGCUGUGAGGCAUGCUGGAGGUAUCAGAAGUGCGAAUGCUGACAUAAGUAACGAUAAAGCGGGUGAAAAGCCCGCUCGCCGGAAGACCAAGGGUUCCUGUCCAACGUUAAUCGGGGCAGGGUGAGUCGACCCCUAAGGCGAGGCCGAAAGGCGUAGUCGAUGGGAAACAGGUUAAUAUUCCUGUACUUGGUGUUACUGCGAAGGGGGGACGGAGAAGGCUAUGUUGGCCGGGCGACGGUUGUCCCGGUUUAAGCGUGUAGGCUGGUUUUCCAGGCAAAUCCGGAAAAUCAAGGCUGAGGCGUGAUGACGAGGCACUACGGUGCUGAAGCAACAAAUGCCCUGCUUCCAGGAAAAGCCUCUAAGCAUCAGGUAACAUCAAAUCGUACCCCAAACCGACACAGGUGGUCAGGUAGAGAAUACCAAGGCGCUUGAGAGAACUCGGGUGAAGGAACUAGGCAAAAUGGUGCCGUAACUUCGGGAGAAGGCACGCUGAUAUGUAGGUGAAGCGACUUGCUCGUGGAGCUGAAAUCAGUCGAAGAUACCAGCUGGCUGCAACUGUUUAUUAAAAACACAGCACUGUGCAAACACGAAAGUGGACGUAUACGGUGUGACGCCUGCCCGGUGCCGGAAGGUUAAUUGAUGGGGUCAGCGCAAGCGAAGCUCUUGAUCGAAGCCCCGGUAAACGGCGGCCGUAACUAUAACGGUCCUAAGGUAGCGAAAUUCCUUGUCGGGUAAGUUCCGACCUGCACGAAUGGCGUAAUGAUGGCCAGGCUGUCUCCACCCGAGACUCAGUGAAAUUGAACUCGCUGUGAAGAUGCAGUGUACCCGCGGCAAGACGGAAAGACCCCGUGAACCUUUACUAUAGCUUGACACUGAACAUUGAGCCUUGAUGUGUAGGAUAGGUGGGAGGCUUUGAAGUGUGGACGCCAGUCUGCAUGGAGCCGACCUUGAAAUACCACCCUUUAAUGUUUGAUGUUCUAACGUUGACCCGUGAUCCGGGUUGCGGACAGUGUCUGGUGGGUAGUUUGACUGGGGCGGUCUCCUCCUAAAGAGUAACGGAGGAGCACGAAGGUUGGCUAAUCCUGGUCGGACAUCAGGAGGUUAGUGCAAUGGCAUAAGCCAGCUUGACUGCGAGCGUGACGGCGCGAGCAGGUGCGAAAGCAGGUCAUAGUGAUCCGGUGGUUCUGAAUGGAAGGGCCAUCGCUCAACGGAUAAAAGGUACUCCGGGGAUAACAGGCUGAUACCGCCCAAGAGUUCAUAUCGACGGCGGUGUUUGGCACCUCGAUGUCGGCUCAUCACAUCCUGGGGCUGAAGUAGGUCCCAAGGGUAUGGCUGUUCGCCAUUUAAAGUGGUACGCGAGCUGGGUUUAGAACGUCGUGAGACAGUUCGGUCCCUAUCUGCCGUGGGCGCUGGAGAACUGAGGGGGGCUGCUCCUAGUACGAGAGGACCGGAGUGGACGCAUCACUGGUGUUCGGGUUGUCAUGCCAAUGGCACUGCCCGGUAGCUAAAUGCGGAAGAGAUAAGUGCUGAAAGCAUCUAAGCACGAAACUUGCCCCGAGAUGAGUUCUCCCUGACUCCUUGAGAGUCCUGAAGGAACGUUGAAGACGACGACGUUGAUAGGCCGGGUGUGUAAGCGCAGCGAUGCGUUGAGCUAACCGGUACUAAUGAACCGUGAGGCUUAACCUUAC